rnacentral:lncRNA from 1 species
AGAAAGAAGUUUAUUGCCAUUGGCAUGAAUCAUCAAUUAUCAUCAUUAUACAAAUCCAUGCACCAUACACCAUCCCUGCAUACAUACAUACAUCCCUCAUCUACCACUGCCAUUACUGAAUAUUAAUAACAUCAAGCUCACGCCAUCGAGGAAAAGGAAAGCCUAGGCUUAAACAUUGGACGGUACAUCUAAGGAACAUAAUAGCAGUAAUACGAACAUCUCACAGGAAACAAACCGAUCUAGAAAAACCAUCUUAUUGGGAGCUCAUCUCACACUCUUUUCUUCCUCAUAGAAGAAACAAGGAAGAAAAAUUUGGAGCUAUUAACUUGUUGUAGCUAAUACAGCUGUCAGCUAGCUAGGACUUGUCGUGGAGCUUGUUGGCAAGAUUGCAAACCUUUCGGAUCUCACCCUUUGUACCUGUGAGAGGGUU